rnacentral:rRNA from 1 species
UACGUAGGGUGCGAGCGUUUGUCCGGAAUUAUUGGGCGUAAAGGGCUCGUAGGCGGUCUGUUGCGUCGGUAGUGAAAACUCAGGGCUUAACCCUGAGCCUGCUUCCGAUACGGGCAGACUAGAGGUAUGCAGGGGGAGAACGGAAUUCCUGGUGUAGCGGUGAAAAUGCGCAGAUAUCAGGAGGAACACCGAUGGCGAAGGCGGCCAUCUGGACGGAUACUACGUGAGACGCGAAAAGCGUGGGGGAGCAAAACAGG